CCUACGGGUGGCAGCAGUGGGGGAUAUUGCACAAUGGGGGGAACCCUGAUGCAGCGACGCCGCGUGUGGGAAGACGGUCCUCUGGAUUGUAAACCACUGUCCCCAGGGACGAAAAUGACGGUACCUGGGGAGGAAGCGCCGGCUAACUACGUGCCAGCAGCCGCGGUAAUACGGAGGGAGCGAGCGUUGUCCGGAAUUACUGGGUGUAAAGGGAGCGUAGGCGGGGAUGCAAGUUGGGUGUCAAAACUACCGGCUCAACUGGUAGUCGCACUCAAAACUGCAGCUCUUGAGUGAAGUAGAGGCAGCCUGCAUUCCUAGUGUAGCGGUGAAAUGCGUCGAUAUUAGGAGGAACACCAGUGGCGACGGCGGCCUGCUGGGCUUUUACUGACGCUGCGGCUCGAAAGUGUGGGGAGCAAACAGGAUUAGAUACCCUUGUAGUC
rnacentral:rRNA from 1 species